GGGAGUGGGGUGCUCGGGCACCCCGUGGUCUGGCCAGGCCGUGAACUGGAACUGCCUCACCUCUCUCUUCUCACUGGAGCCAUUCUGAAUUAUGGAUUUGGCGAAAGGGGAAGCUGAUAAAGGCCAAUGCCAGAAGCUGGAGCCAGCAGGGGCUCAAGAAAGUAUCAGCAACCAGGACUGAGUGGCUGCUAAUUGUGAACGAAAAGCAAUGGAGCUGGAAGGCAUCCCGAGAAGGAACAGUGGAACCUCCAGCGCCUGUUGUCAGUCAAUUUAGACCAUGACGAAAAAGGCUGUGUUCCUUGUGUCACCAUUUAACCUAUUCACCAGUGUGGAAUGAGAGCAGCUGUUUUUUUUACAGUACCACAUAAUGGGACAAAAUGGCUCUGGCUGGCUAAGCUCCAGCUAGCUGAAAAAAGGCCUCAAUGCAGAGAAAGGGAGGAGGUGUGAAACAGACAUUGCAAAAGAGAGAACAUUGCUGCCAUGUAAUCAAUGAUACUGAGAGAGUUUGCACCCUUCCAUCUGAGCUGAUAUAAACAUUUUUUUCUGUCGCAACAAAGAAUUAGAGAAGAACUGACAGAGGCCACAGAUGGCCUGGGCUCACACAGACUUCAGAAGUAUCUCAAAGUUUACACAAGUCAGACAAGAAGCCAGAUUGGCUCCAAAACUAAGGCUGUUUUUUGACGGGGGAAAAUAAAUAUUGCUCACUUGUUUUUGAUCUUUCUUCAAGCGGAGGUGUGAAUAAGUACUUUGUGAGCGACAGCCUGAUGAGCGUAGAUAUAGAAACUUCAUCAGGCUGUUGUCAGCGCUGUCCGGUUUUAAGGCCGCUCAGGCAUGACAGUACGAGAAUGAGGUAUGCUUAUGUUAGCACCGCAGCAGAUGUUCUAUGCCUGUUGCAGCUGUCUCCUGUUUUAAAACAGAAGCGCGACUCCAUCGCUCUGUAUCUCUCAAUCCUCGCAUAUUUAAAACUCCUAUUUAUUUCCCUCAGGUCAGACUAGAAUCAAAUUACGUAGAU